rnacentral:rRNA from 1 species
AGUCGAGAAUAAUUCACAAUGGGGGCAACCCUGAUGGUGCAACGCCGCGUGGAGGAUGAAGGUCUUCGGAUUGUAAACUCCUGUCAUCUGGGAGUAAGACCUGGCUGUGAAUAGCAGACAGGGUUGAUAGUACCAGAAGAGGAAGGGACGGCUAACUUCGUGCCAGCAGCCGCGGUAAUACGAAGGUCCCGAGCGUUGUUCGGAAUCACUGGGCGUAAAGGGAGCGUAGGCGGCGUGGUAAGUCAGAUGUGAAAUCCCGGGGCUCAACCCCGGAACUGCAUCCGAUACUGCCGUGCUAGAGGAUUGGAGAGGUAGCUGGAAUUCUUGGUGUAGCAGUGAAAUGCGUGGAGAUCAAGAGGAACACUCGUGGCGAAAGCGAGCUACUGGACAAUAUCUGACGCUGAGGCUCGAAGGCCAGGGUAGCGAA